rnacentral:rRNA from 1 species
UACGUAGGCAGCAAGCGUUGUUCGGAAUUACUGGGCGUAAAGAGUGUGUAGGCGGUGUUCUAAGUUUGUCGUGAAAUCUCCCGGCUUAACUGGGAGGGUGCGGCGAAAACUGGAAUGCUAGAGGAUGGGAGAGGUAAGCGGAAUUCCUGGUGUAGCGGUGAAAUGCGUAGAUAUCCGGAAGAACACCGGUGGCGAAGGCGGCCUGCUGGGCAGUUGCUGACACUGAGGCGCGACAGCGUGGGGAGCAAACAGG